GAUGAACGCUGGCGGCGUGCCUAAUACAUGCAAGUCGAGCGGACAGACGAGGGUCUUGCUCCUCUGGCGUUAUCGGCUGACGGGUUAUUAACACGUGUAUAACCUACCUAUAGGACUGGGAUAACUUCGGGAAACCGGAGCUAAUACGGGAUAAUAUAUUGGACCGCGAUUUUCAAUCGUUGGAUUCGGUUUUUCUUGCGCUUAUAGAUUGAUCCGCGCCGCAUUAGCUAGUUGGUAAGGUAACGGCUUAGCAAGGCAACGAUGCGAAGCCGACACGAGAGGGUGAUUGGCCAGACUGGAACAGAGAAACGGUACAGACACCGAGGGGAGGCAGCAGCAGGGAAUCUUACGCAAAGGGCGAAAGCGUGACGGAGCAACGCCGCGUGAGUGAUGAAGGUCUCCGGAUCGUAAAACUAUGAUAUCCGGGAAGAAGAAAUGUGUAAGUAACUAUGAACGUAUUGACGGUACCUAAUCAGAAAGCCACGGCUAACUCCGUG
rnacentral:rRNA from 1 species